CAGACUUGGGAAACUGAGGCUUAGGGAGGUUCCGUCACCAGCUUGUGAUAAUAUAUAUGCUUCCAGAGAGAGACAGGCCCUGUUCUGGGAAAGGAGGAGCCCAGGAGCCAAAGGAGGAACCUAGCCUUGGGCCAGUACCUGAUUCCAGACAGAAGCAGUACUCCAGGGGGCCGAGGGCAGCGGAGGUGUUGCAGAAGAUGGAGAAGCUUGUUAGAACGGUGCCCUCCUCCGGGGCGAUGGUGCAGGUUGCAGGAAUGGUGCUGCAGAGGGAACCUUCUGGGAAAAGGACCCAUGCUUCGCCCAGACUCUGAGCAAACCUGCAGGACAUGUCAGCUUGUUUUGCACCAGUGACUUGCACGGAUGAGCAGGCAGGCAUAUAACAGGAGACGUGCCUGCCUGGGAGAAUGUCCAGGGGAGCUUCUUGUCACUGGUGUCAUUCUCACUCCACAUUGAAGUGGUUGUCCUCAGCUGAAUGUCCCUGUGGGGUACCUGGGGGCCCUGGGGAGCUGUCCCUUCAUCUGGGAGGCUGCAGUGUCAUCUCCAGCUUCAUGAAACCAGCUCGGAGAAGCAGCUGGUUUGUAAGACACCUGUCCACAGUUGGCACCGCACCCCCUACCUCAGAGCUGCCUGUGCCAAGGUGUAGAAUGGAGACAGACCCUGUCCAAUCUGCCCAGCUCCCCUCAGGACAGACCACUGACACUUGUUCCAGAUGGUUCUUGGAGACCAGAAGGAGCUGUGAACACAGUGGGAAUGGAUGUCAGACUUUGGUGGUGUUCAUCAAGCUGCAAAGGAUAAGGUAUACUGAAGGGCCCCAGGGGACCUGCCUGUCUUUGGAAAUGGUUCAGGGGGACAUAGCAAACAUUCAGGUCACAGGGAAAUGGUCAAAAGCAAAACCACUGAGUUCACCACUGGGUUAGAGACAUCUCUUCAGUAGUAAAGAAAGAGGCAUGCAGCUGCCAACGCAGAUAACACACAAGAUUUAGAGUCAGACAGGCAGCUGUGUGCUCUGAAUGUUUAACUACCGGUCGAGGAGGUUGGGGUGGGGACCCCUGAUUUGUAUUUGUAGCAUUUGCUAAUUUCUAUGGUGUUCAGGACUGGACAAAAGUAGGUUUACAAUUGUGAGCAUGCAAACAGAGUUAAUAAAGCCAUUGUAAUAAUCACAACCCAGGUCUUUUUCCAUACGAACAACUGUAAACCUACUUUUGCCCACAUCUGUAUUCCCACAAAAGCUACCAAGCUGAUGUCACUGAAUGCAGACUGAGAAGAGAUGGGCAUAACCAGCUCUGUCUGGCAAGCUGGUAGCGCCUGGCCUUGGCACCCCAUGGCGUGUCUCCAGAUCCCUUAUUGGCCUCUUACUGGCUGUGCAAACCUGGGCAGGUUAGUGAUUCUUUCUGAGUCUUAGCUUCCUCCUCCAUAAAAAACACUGAAAGCAAUCCCUAUUUCUCAAGGCUCCGGAAGGACUGAAUGCUGUGCUAUAUAUACUAUUGCUUUGUAAUCUCUAUAUCUGUAAAGAGUAUUAGUGUGUUAAGUUUAAAAAAUGGAAAGGGUACAUUUAAUUGAUAUGCUGGGAAGAUACUGAAAUGUGAAUAUGAUUAAUGUCUAAUGAAAGCAUAGAUUAAGACAGGAACUUAGGGUUAUUCCAUGUGAUUCUCUAGGCUCCAGUGACUUGGAUCUUUUAAGAGCUGGGUACUACUGAUCUUUGGAAAAUUCUUUCCCAGGGAAAUCUCAUUCAGACAACUAUAGCUUCAAAGGUUUGUAAAAUUAUACAAACCAAAUUAAGAUAUGAAACACGGAGGACUUUCUUAACCUUAAGUAAGAAGAGGGUCCAAUAAUCCUGAAUGAGGAAAUCAAGAAAAACUGUUGUUAUCUCUGAUCUUGCCAUGAAUUAGCUGAGUGACUUUUGCAAAGUCAAUUCACUUCUCUAGGCCUCAAGUUCCAUAUGUAGAAAAAGAUAUCUAAUGACUUUUCCCCUAGCCAUACCCCCUUCUUUUGGUAACAGCACCUACAGGUGAUAUUUUCUCUGGGGAACCAUCCCCCCCCCACUUUCAGUCCUUGAUUUGGGUGAAGCCAUCCCUACAUCAUGUCCCAGGGUGGACGUGUGGUCCUUGUCUGCCCAAACUGAGUGCCACUGCCCCCUGGUCUCAUCAGUGUGUCCACAGGGGAACACGAACCAAGCUUGGACCAGUGAGAGACAGCCUCAGGACUUCUGCUGGGAAUGUCUAAGAGGUGCUUGCUCUUCUCUGGGCUGAAGGACUGAAGCCUGGGGCCAUCUUGCUACUGCUUGGGAAGAGGGAAUCAGGAUGAGGUGACAUAGAACCAAGAGAUAGCGACAGAUUUCUGAAUGGCUGGAUCCACCUGCAUCUAAACCCUGGACUUUUCACUUCCUGAGUUGACAAAAAUUUCCUUUUGACUUGAGCCCAUUUGAACUGCUUGAGUCCCUUGCUACUCAAAGAGUCCUGGCACACACAUUCAAGGUAACCUUCAAGCUCUGUUGGCUGUCCACUCCACAAACAUUACCCAUCCCUGCUUCUUGGCUGCCAGAAUCUACCUUCUCCCACAGAGCUGAAAAAGCUGAAUGUCUGCUUCCCAGCAUCCCUUACAGCUGCGGCACAUGACCCUACCCUGGUCAAUGGUAUCUAAGGAGAAGAUUGCUGAGGACUAGCAGGAAAAAUUUCUCACUAAUGAAAACAGGCUCACAAGAGGAAAUGGUUCUGUGCUGCUGGAUAAAGCUAGGUUGACAUGUGAUGUCUGGAACUGUAGCAGCCCUCCUGAUUGCAGGAGAAGCAAGCCUAAGGAUGAAGCAAAAUCUCUGAGGAUGGUAGAACAGAAUAGUAAACUGAUCCUGGGUCCUUGCUGCUGACACUGAA